rnacentral:misc_RNA from 1 species
UUCCGGUCGAGCUCAUUGUCGUUG